UCCGGCGACCGGCGCACGGGUGAGUAACACGUAUGCAACCUGCCCGUCUCAGGGGGAUAAUCGUCGGAAACGGCGUCUAAUACCCCGUAUGAAGCUGGACGGCAUCGUCUGGUUUUGAAAGAAUAUCGGAGACGGAUGGGCAUGCGGCGCAUUAGCUAGUUGGCGGGGUAACGGCCCACCAAGGCGACGAUGCGUAGGGGUUCUGAGAGGAAGGUCCCCCACACUGGUACUGAGACACGGACCAGACUCCUACGGAAGGCAGCAG
rnacentral:rRNA from 1 species